ensembl:lncRNA DPP10-AS1 DPP10 antisense RNA 1
UUCUUAGAUCUACCUUCCAAUUGCAGGCUAUUCAACUGCAGCAUCCCUAGGUGUUUCACAAAACCUGCUUUUCACCUCUGGCCCACUUAGAAACUCAGUUCCCUCCCUUUCCUGACAAAGUUCAAUUUAUGUAACCAUUGAUACUCAGCCCAGAAUGUCCAUUUUAUAACUGAUCUUUCUGGAUGGUUAUGGUUAAAUUUACAACCAGGUGCUUACUAUAUAUUUCUCUGUCUCAGUAGUAUUUGCCUGGCCUUUUAAAAUGUAAAGUUUUUCGUAUGUGUGUGUGGUAGGGGUGGGAGGGAUUAUGUCUUCCUAGAGUCCAUUGAUGAUUUACGUGAAAUAACUUAAAAAUUAAAAAAAUCUAUGAACUUUCCUAUGAUUUUUGUCUCUGACACCAUCUUACAAGACCAAUUCUACAAUAGCAACAUAUUUUUCAUUUAGGAGAUUAAAACUUUUAAACAUCAUGUCACCUGAGUUGCUUUUCAAAGAUAAUAUGAUAUACCAUAAAUAAAAUAAGAUUAUUAUUUUGCAUAUUUCCAAGUUCCCUAUUAUAAUUACUGGAAAAGUAACUAUUUUAAUUACUGUACAAAUGUCUUUGCAAACACUUUCUUGGAAAAUAGAGUUUUCUAGCAAGACUAUAAAUUUCAAUCAUACUUGGAGGAGGAAUGAAGACUUAUUUAGUUAAUAAAUCUGCAUGCAUCACAUGUAGCAGUUUGUUUUCUUUUACCAUCAACAUGCAAUUCAUUUUUUUUACUGCCUGGAAGUUAUUGACAAUUUUAAAGACAUUUUGCCCAGGUGUAAGCAAUCAGAAUUUACUACAGACUGUGAAUCAAGGAAAUACACAUAAAUUAAAUGUAAUGCAACUAAGUCAUGGAGCUUAAAUCUGAAUAAACAGAUAUUGAUCGAGUAUUCUGAUGGCAUCUACAAGUACAAUUCUAGAUGUAAAAAUUAAUAAUAUAUAAUGUUUCAAAAUGCCUUUUAAAAUUGUCCGUUAUAAAAUUGAAUUACCUUGGUACAUUUACUGAAGUAUUGCCUGUGUCCUUAUUAAUAAAAAAAAUUGUGUUUUAUUUUCCCAAAUGAAAUACAUAGUAAUCAUUCUCACUCAUAAGAGUUAUUUUCUUUAUGAGUAAUUAUAUCCAUGUUUGUCUUGUCUUUUAAAACAAUGUUGAAUAAAACAUUGAGUUAAUAUAAAUAAAUGCAAACUGUAAAUGUGUUCUAAAAGAAAAAAGAACUAUUCUUAUCAAAUGCCUGUGCAACUGUUUCAACACAAAUGCAAAUCAGCCCUAAUUUUAUUUUCAAAAUGCCACUCUUUAACCAAUAGAAUGCACAAUCAAUUUUAAACACCAGGAAGGAUGCUUUAUAAUGCUGCUCUAGGGAAGAGACAAAAUUUCUCAUUUCUUCAUCAGCACAGUUAAGUUGUAUCACCAAAUAAUCUAUGAACCCCUGAUUAACCAGAUGCCAUUUUCCACCAUCUGUCCCAGAUUAAAAUGCAGUGAUGUGUUCAAUAGGGCACUAAAAAAAAAAUUGAUAAGCUUUUUUCUUUUCUUCCAGAUAGCCACCCAGACCCCCAUGUAGAGAGGAAAUGAAGCAGUGCAAGUAUCUGUGCAUAUAACUUUUGGAAAUGCAAAUUAGAAUUUAAAAACUCUUUGUUUCAGCUUUGUAAUAUUCAUCUUAAUACAGUGUUAUGCAUCCCCGUGCCUCUUUCUGUCCUCAUAUGAUAUUGUCUACUUUUCCUCCUUAAGCUCUGAACAUCUCUGUCUUUAUGCUGAUGACCUUCAUUUCUCUGUGUAAAGCUGUCUUAGCCAAAUGUGACCUGGUGGGAAUACUGGCAGCCUAAGUCUCAAAGUUGAAUAGAACUUUGAAUUGGCUCUUGUUCUAAUAGUCUGACAGCACAGGUGUACCUAGAAGGUACUUGGCUGUAUAACUUCUAAAUCACAACAUUCUCUACGCCCUGCCUUCUGUCCGUUGAUAGGCCUUCAUAGUUGGAGUUCACUCAAUCUCUUAACAAUUUCUCCCAUUGGGGAAUGAUUUCUGCCCUCUGUAGCCCGCCAGUUAUGAAUGGACAGCUCUCUCCAAACCAUAAUUAAUCUCUUCUUAACUAGAGCCUGGCCUCCUUUCUUGCCUGCUCCACCUGCUGUUAGACAUUCCUAGGUAUCCAGCCUAAGUGCCUUUCAUACCUGGCCUGGCCAAACACUCAGGACAAAGUGAUGUGCACCACGCAUUUCUCUCCCUAUGUCGCUAUCCUCUGCAGGGUGGAUAGUUGUUCAUCCUCAGUCUUGCCACAUCCUGCACUUUUCCCACCAGUCUGUUUGUCAAGGGGCAACCCUUCCUCAAGGUUACACCCAUUGCUGUUCUGAUACCACUGGUUCACUGCCAGAUGGCUCAGUCAGAUGGAUGUGCUAGAGCAAAUCAAAUCACUGGCCAGGGCUGGGAUUCUUUUCUUGCACUCUCUAAAGUUCUAUUUAUUUAUUAUAUUAGUUGUAAUUCUAUCACUGCCUAUCAGAAAAUGAAAACCCCAAAUAGAUGCUCUUCCCAUACAAAGGUGAUGCUGGAUAUGCCCUUUGAGUUUAUUUUCCAUUAGCACAGAUGACCUCCUCUUCCCACCAACUCCUCUCUCCCUCCCACACACACCCUCACACGUGGCUUUCAUGUUAACUACUCUGGGACUGCCUUGUUAAGAGCAAAGUCAUCUGGACUAUUCAAGGGAAUAGCCACAAACUCUACCUAGUACAAAAGAGACUGAGCUAACUGAACUUCAGACCUAAAGGGAAGGAGAACUAAUGUAGUCUACAUCAUUGGUAAAAGGAAUGUCAUCUUUAGGUGAAAAUCCUUUAAAAUAUAUUUUGGAUGGGUGAUUUUCUAAAAUUAUAUUGCUCUGUGCCUCCUUACACUAGGGAUUUUAAAUAUUAUGACUUGGGUCAACCUCUGAAACAUCCAUUUUUGUACUAUUCCUCCAAAGAUUAUUUGUAUACAUGUAAUUAUUGGCUCCUCAAAUAGAUAACCUCAGAUUGCUUGCCUCUGUAAAUCAUUAUGUCUGCUUUAUGGUUUUUUUUUUAUUCCAUCCCUUUGCAGUUUUUGCCUUUGCUGAUUGUUAGAAGCAUUUCCCCUUUUAAUCCCUGGGCAAUGAGACAACCAUGUUUGGGAGAACAGGUCAUUACAUAGAAAUACACUGGUUCUAACUGCCUGAGUGUGUCUUUUGAGAAUACAUAUACAUGAGCUUUCAAGAAGAAUAAUUUUUGAAGUAUUAUGACUUUACUUUGUAGCCACAUCUGACCAGUUGAUGCGACCUGUAAAUACUAUGAGAAUAACAUCAAGGCUAGAGAAACAUUGCCAUCUGUUACUAAUAUUUUCAUAGGACAUCCACAUCAUCACAGAAACACUGGGACAGGACACACACAGCAUAAACCAGGUAGCUGCUGUUUUGUGCCCUAAGUGUCUAUCCAUGGCAUACUCCUCAGAAAAUCAAGACAUCUCUUUUUUCUUCCCUGUUCCUUCCACUUCUUAAAUAUAAAUAAUUUAAACAAAUUAUCUGCCUCUCACUUCUUUAAAAAAGAAAAAAACUCUCCUGGCAGAAGAUUCUAAAUGACAAUAGGAGGUCAAAUUAGCAAGCCUGACUGCUCAAGCUCAAGGCAGAUGUGAGAGAAGCUUUGCUACUGCUUAUGACCUUCCUGCACAUUUACCCUUUUGGCAUGAGAAUCACAAACCAUGAGGAAACUUGCUUUUGAUCCUUAAGAUGGAAGCCAAGAAACCUUCUGCAAAAUGGUCUGGAAUUAUGUGUAAAACAUGUAAGAUUGAACAGCCAGCCUCAGCGACUCACAAGAAAUUAUCUCCUGGGCCAAGUUGGUGAUUUGAUAUCACCAUUUAUAUUCACUACAAGAACCAAAAAGGCCCGAUUUUCCAUGUUCAGUUCAACCUCUCCAGGAGACCUGCAAGAACAAACCCAUUGAGAUGGCUACAGAAUGAGAAGGGAAGCUUUUUCAUGGUGUAAGAAGUAAGAAAAAUUGAUUAGGAAGAACUCUGUGGGUAAGGAGAAAGAAAACCUACUAGGAGACCAUUAUUGCAGUGAAGAGCAUAGAACAAGGCUCUCUGGAAACUUAAGGGAAUCAUAAUAUGCCUGAGAAAACAUAAACAAAAAUUAUCUUAAUGACAAAUAAGUGCUUCGGAAAUAAACAAAGGCCAAAAUCUGUUAGAGAUGGUAGGUAGACAGCUCUCAUAUUUCCGUGGAUUGCAUCCUCAUGAAGGAUUUUCAACUUGUCUUUCAUUUUGAAAUUGAAUAAAUAUUGGAAUGCAUUAUCAUCCACCCUCCCUACAUUCAUCUAUAAAAGGAGACAUGACAGAUGUAAAGUUCCUAUCAAUAUGUGAACAGCAGAGGGAAAAAUGAGGCUGCACCCUGAAUUGAAGUGAUCCUAUCUCUUUAAGCCUCUUUCACACUGGAGAGCUACAGGAAGCCUGAGUUUGAAAUCAUUUGGUCCAGACAGAAGAGGAGAAGCAAGGACCGAGUGUCAUGAAGAGGGAAACAUUGCCAGACUGUCAGAGGUUACCUAAUAUCCUUUGAUGGGUUUCCUCCUGUUUCCCUGAAUCUGGGAUGACUGUCCCCUUGAACUGCUCCGGUAUCUUAGCCAAUGGACAAUGUAUUGUUACUCCCCUCCUUAUCUAUUCGUGGUUUUUGCACACAUACCAUGAACUCAUAAGUGUUGAAGGAUCUCGACGUGUAAAAAUAUUUGUAAGAACAAGUUCAGUGACUAGAAAUUUGCUAGCUGGUUUGAAAUAAAGAGAUACACAUAAAACUAUAUUAUGAACUGGGAUCACCCAAAUUAUCUUCUGCAGGACAUUAUUCUACUAGAAAAUAUGGACAAAAUCAUAAGGACAAUUGUCAGUUUGAUGCUGACAAAAUUUUGUAAAAUUCCUUAUAUUAAAACCACUCUUCACUAUUAGCAGGAGACUACACAUGUUCUAAUGGUCUGAGAAAUACUGCAG